rnacentral:rRNA from 1 species
AGAGUUUGAUCCUGGCUCAGGACGAACGCUGGCGGCGUGCUUAAAACAUGCAAGUCGAACGGGGUCCAUCCUUCGGGAGAAGACCUAGUGGCGAACGGGUGAGUAACACGUGAGCAACCUACCCCAGAGACCGGGAUAAGCCAGAGAAAUUUGGUCUAAUACCGGAUAAUCUCUUCCCGCUACUAACGGGUUGAGCAAAUGGUUUUUCGCUUUGGGAUGGGCUCGCGGACUAUCAGCUUGUUGGUGGGGUAAUGGCCUACCAAGGCUUCGACGGUUAGCUGGUCUGAGAGGAUGGUCAGCCACACUGGGACUGAGACACGGCCCAGACUCCUACGGGAGGCAGCAGUUAGGAAUCUUGCGCAAUGGGCGAAAGCCUGACGCAGCAACGCCGCGUGUGGGAUGAAGGCUUUCGGGUUGUAAACCACUUUCAGCAGGAACGAAAUUGACGGUACCUGCAGAAGAAGCUCCGGCCAACUACGUGCCAGCAGCCGCGGUAAUACGUAGGGAGCAAGCGUUGUCCGGAUUUAUUGGGCGUAAAGAGCUCGUAGGCGGUUACGUAAGUCAGGUGUGAAACCUCCAGGCUCAACCUGGAGACGCCACUUGAUACUGCGUUGACUUGAGUUCGGUAGGGGUAAGCGGAAUUCCUGGUGUAGCGGUGAAAUGCGCAGAUAUCAGGAGGAACACCGACGGCGAAGGCAGCUUACUGGGCCGAUACUGACGCUGAGGAGCGAAAGCGUGGGGAGCGAACAGGAUUAGAUACCCUAGUAGUCC